rnacentral:rRNA from 1 species
UAUUGGAGGCACUGCCUGCCCAGUGACAUCCGUUAAACGGCCGCGGUAUCCUGACCGUGCAAAGGUAGCAUAAUCAUUUAGUUCUCUAAAUAGGGACUUAGUAUGAAUAGGCCACACGAGGGUUUAACUAGUCUCUUACUUCCAAUCAGUGAAAUUCGACCUUCCCGUGAAGAGGCGGGAAUACUACAAUAAGACGAGAAGACCCUAUGGAGCUUUAAUUAAUUAGCCCAAACUUAUGAACUUUAAACCCCACUGGGAAUAACAUACUACCAUUGUUAUGGGCUAACAAUUUAGGUUGGGGUGACCUCGGAAUAUAAAAAAACUCCCGAGUGAUUAAAAUUUAGACCUACCAGUCAAAAUGUACCAUCACUUAUUGAUCCAAUAAUCUUUGAUCAACGAAACAAGUUACCCUAGGGAUAACAGCGCAAUCCUAUUUAAGAGUCCAUAUCGACAAUAGGGUUUACGACCUCGAUGUUGGAUCAGGACAUCCUAAUGGUGCAGCAGCUAUUAAGGGUUCGUUUGUUCAACGAUUAAAGUCCUACG